UUUUGCAGAAGAGGAGCACUGCCCAGGCAGAUGUUUUGUGGAGCCGCAACUCCAACACAGAACAUUCAGGGGGAGUAGUGCCGAGGUAGAUCAAAAUUGCAGGAUUUGAUCUGUCGGUUGACUUGGGUUGAGUCCCAUCAACUGUCAUCAGCUCAGCCUGAUGAAGAGCUUCUGAGAUG
rnacentral:ncRNA from 2 species